rnacentral:rRNA from 1 species
AAUAGAUACCCAGGUAGUCCACGCCCUAAACGAUGUCAACUAGCUGUUGGGGCCUUCGGGCCUUGGUAGCGCAGCUAACGCGUGAAGUUGACCGCCUGGGGAGUACGGUCGCAAGAUUAAAACUCAAAGGAAUUGACGGGGACCCGCACAAGCGGUGGAUGAUGUGGAUUAAUUCGAUGCAACGCGAAAAACCUUACCUACCCUUGACAUGUCUGGAAUCCUGAAGAGAUUUGGGAGUGCUCGCAAGAGAACCGGAACACAGGUGCUGCAUGGCUGUCGUCAGCUCGUGUCGUGAGAUGUUGGGUUAAGUCCCGCAACGAGCGCAACCCUUGUCAUUAGUUGCUACGAAAGGGCACUCUAGUGAGACUGCCGGUGACAAACCGGAGGAAGGUGGGGAUGACGUCAAGUCCUCAUGGCCCUUAUGGGUAGGCUUCACACGUCAUACAAUGGUCGGGACAGAGGGUCGCCAAGCCGCGAGGUGGAGCCAAUCCCAGAAACCCGAUCGUAGUCCGGAUCGCAGU